rnacentral:rRNA from 1 species
CCGAGCGGAGGAGAGCGCGCGGGGGAUGCCUAGGCGCCAAGGGCCGAGGAAGGACGUGGCUGGCUGCGAAAAGCCGCGGGGAGCCGCCAGCGGGCAGAGAGCCGCGGAUGUCCGAAUGGGGCAACCCCGCCAGGGUGAUGCCUGGCGACCGCUGGUCGCGGGAGCGACUGGUGGAGGGAACUCGGGGAACUGAAACAUCUCAGUACCCGGAGGAAGAGGAAUCAAACGAGACUCCGCUAGUAGUGGUGAGCGAACGCGGACGAGCCCAAACCGUCGUGGCUAGGUGGGCGGCAGCCCGAAGCGGCGGCGGGGUUGGAGGGCCUGCCGAGACGCGCUGCCGGGGCGUCGACGCUGGCGAACGGGCGAGCCGAACGGUCUGGGAAGGCCGACCGGAGGGGGUGACAGUCCCGUAGGCGAAGCCUGGGCGCGGCGUGGCGGGCACCUGAGUACCACGGGACGCGAGGAAUCCCGUGGGAAGCUGGGGGGACCACCCUCCAAGGCGCAGUACCCUUGGCGACCGAUAGUGGACCAGUACCGUGAGGGAAUGGUGAAAAGGCCCCCGGGAGGGGAGUGCAAAGCGUCUGAAACCGCGCGCUUGCGGGCAGUCGGAGCUUGGGGGAGCCGAGUGACGGCGUGCCUAUUGAAGAAUGAGCCGGCGAGUUGCUCUGCGUUGCGAGGUUAAGGCCGAGGGGCUGGAGCCGGAGCGACAGCGAGUCCGAAGAGGGCGGGCAGUAGCGCGGAGCAGACCCGAAACCGGGUGAGCUACCCAUGGCCAGGCUGAAGGGCGCGUAACGGCGCCUGGAGGGCCGAACCCGGCAGUGGUGCAAAACUGCGGGAGGAGCUGUGGGUAGGGGUGAAAUGCCAACCGAACUCGGAGAUAGCUGGUUCUCCCCGAAAUGCAUUGAGGUGCAGCCCCAGGUGGACCGUGGUGGCGGUAGGGCGCUGGCUGGGCGAGGGGCCGCGAGGCUACCGACCUCAACCAAACCGCGAAGGCUGCCAGGGGGUGCCUGGGAGUGAGACGGCGGGGGAUAAGCUCCGUCGUCGAGAGGGCAACAGCCCGGACCGUCGGCUAAGGCCCCGAAGUCCAGGCUCAGUGGGCAACGAUGUUCGGCCGCCGAGACAGCCAGGAGGUUGGCUUAGAAGCAGCCAUCCUUGAAAGAGUGCGUAACAGCUCACUGGUCGAGUGGUCGGGCGCGGACAAUGGAGCGGGGCUAAGCCUGGCGCCGAAGCCGCGGAUGCCGUGUCGGGUUGGGCACGGCGUGGUAGGGGAGCGUCCCGCGGGCGGGGAAGUCCAGCUGGGAGGCUGGGUGGAGCGCGCGGGAGUGCGAAUGCCGGCACGAGUAGCGCGAUCCUGAUGGGAAGUCAGGACCCCGAAAGGCCAAGGGUUCCGCCGGGAGGACCAUCCACGGCGGGUGAGUCGGGCCUAAGCCGAGGCCGCGAGGCGUAGGCGAUGGACAGACGGUGGAGAUUCCGUCACCGUGCGCGGACGAGGAAGUCCGCCCUCGUGACGGGGCCAGCUACACUGGGCGUGGCGCUGGAGGAGCUGCGUCUAACCGUGUGGGGCGCCAGGCGGCGUCCGAGGCGGGGGGAAGCCCUGGGGCGACCUGGGGCGAUCUGGUGGAGGCUGGCCUCCGAGAAAAGGCGGGGGUGGGAGGCCGCGCGCGCCCGUACCGCAGACCGACACGGGUGGCCUGGUGUGAGAGCACCGAGGGGAACGGGUGAGCCCUCGUCAAGGAACUCGGCAAGUUGGCCCCGUAACUUCGGGAGAAGGGGCGCCCGCCUGGGUGAACCGGCCGUGCGCUGGGGAGCGUGGGCGGGCCGCAGGGAAACGGCCCAGGCGACUGUUUACCAAAAACACAGCUCCCUGCCAACCUGGAAGGGGACGUAUAGGGGGUGACGCCUGCCCGAUGCCGGAAGGUCAAGGGGAGGGGUGCAAGCUCCGAACCGAAGCCCCGGUCAAUGGCGGCCGUAACUAUAACGGUCCUAAGGUAGCGAAAUUCCUUGUCGGGUAAGUUCUGACCCGCACGAAUGGCGUCACGACCUGGGCGCUGUCUCGACGAGGGGCCCGGCGAAACUGAAGUGGCCGUGAAGAUGCGGCCGACCCGCGACAGGACAAAAAGACCCCGUGGAGCUUUACUGCAGCCAGCCGUUGGGCUGGGGCCCGCGCUGCGUAGGAUAGGUGGGAGCCGGGGAAGCCCCGAUUGCGGUUGGGGUGGAGGCGACGGUGAAAUACCACCCUGGGCGGGUUCUGGUUCUAACUGGCGCCCGUGGAGCCGGGGCUGGGACCGCGGCUGGUGGGCAGUUUGACUGGGGCGGUCGCCUCCCAAAGGGUAACGGAGGCGCCCAACGGUCCGCUCAGGCCGGAUGGAGAUCGGCCGGUGUGUGCAUGGGCAGAAGCGGGCUUGACUGUGAGGCGGACGUGCCGAGCAGGGACGAAAGUCGGGCCAAGUGAUCCUCUGGGUCCGGGUGGAAGGCCCAGGGCUUAUCGGAUAAAAGCUACCCCGGGGAUAACAGGCUGAUCCCGCCCGAGAGUCCCCAUCGACGGCGGGGUUUGGCACCUCGAUGUCGGCUCGUCGCAUCCUGGGGCUGGAG